UACAGAGGUCUCAAGCGUUGUUCGGAUUCAUUGGGCGUAAAGGGUGCGUAGGUGGCGCUGUAAGUCGGGUGUGAAAUUUCGGAGCUUAACUCCGAAACUGCAUUCGAUACUGCGGUGCUUGAGGACUGGAGAGGAGACUGGAAUUUACGGUGUAGCAGUGAAAUGCGUAGAGAUCGUAAGGAAGACCAGUGGCGAAGGCGGGUCUCUGGACAGUUCCUGACGCUGAGGCACGAAGGCCAGGGGAGCAAACGGG
rnacentral:rRNA from 1 species